UACGGGGGGGGCAAGCGUUGUUCGGAAUUACUGGGCGUAAAGGGUUUGUAGGUGGUCUGUUAAGUCAGACGUGAAAUCCCUCAGCUUAACUGGGGAACUGCGUCUGAGACUGAUGGACUUGAGGGCAGGAGAGGAACGCGGAAUUCCAGGUGUAGCGGUGAAAUGCGCAGAUAUCAGGAGGAACACCGGUGGCGAAGGCGGUUCUCUGGGCAUUACCUGACGCUGAGGAGCGAAAGUGUGGGGAGCGAACAGG
rnacentral:rRNA from 1 species